AGGACGAACGCUGGCGGCGUGCUUAACACAUGCAAGUCGAGCGGAAAGGCCCUUCGGGGUACUCGAGCGGCGAACGGGUGAGUAACACGUGAGUAACCUGCCCCUAGCUCUGGGAUAGCUCCGGGAAACCGGGAUUAAUACCGGAUACAACCACGGCCGACAUCUGCUGUGGUGGAAAGGAUUCCGGCUAAGGAUGGGCUCGCGGCCUAUCAGCUAGUUGGUGGAGUAACGGCCCACCAAGGCGACGACGGGUA
rnacentral:rRNA from 1 species